rnacentral:tRNA from 1 species
GGGUUCAUAGCUCAGUGGUAAGAGUAUUUGUUUGCAAAUAAAUGGUGUCAGGUUCAAACCCCAAUGACACCG